UUACGGUCAAAUCACGCUGAAAACACCGGUUCUCGUUCGAUCAUCGAAGUUAAGCAUCGUAGAGCCAGGUCAGUACUUAGAUGGGGGACCGCUUGGGAACACCUGGUACUGUAAG
rnacentral:rRNA from 1 species